UACGGAGGUGGCUAGCGUUGCUCGGAAUGACUGGGCGUAAAGGGCGCGUAGGCGGUUUGUACAGUCAGGUGUGAAAUUCCCGGGCUCAACCUGGGGGCUGCACUUGAUACGUAUGGACUGGAGUGGGGAAGAGGGUCGUGGAAUUCCCAGUGUAGAGGUGAAAUUCGUAGAUAUUGGGAAGAACACCGGUGGCGAAGGCGGCGACCUGGUCCUUGACUGACGCUGAGGCGCGAAAGCGUGGGGAGCGAACAGG
rnacentral:rRNA from 1 species